UCAAGGUGUAUAUCGCCAUUGCUGCGGUUAAAAAGCUCGUAGUUGGAUCUGCGCCUUCGGACUCGGUCCGCCCAACGGGUGUGAACUGGGAUCCAAGGCUUAUACUGCUGGUUUUCCCUUGAUGCUCUUUACUGGGUGUCUUGGGUGGCUAGCGAGUUUACUUUGAAAAAAUUAGAGUGCUUAACACAGGCUAACGCCUGAAUACUUGUGCAUGGAAUAAUAGAAUAAGACCACGGUUCUAUUUUAUUGGUUUUCGGAACUGUGAUAAUGGUUAAGAGGGACAGACGGGGGCAUUCGUAUCGCUGCGUGAGAGGUGAAAUUCUUGGACCGCAGCGAGACGCCCUACUGCGAAAGCAUUUGCCAAGGAUGUUUUCAUUGA
rnacentral:rRNA from 1 species